rnacentral:misc_RNA from 1 species
UAUAAAUAUAACUGUUGGCCAUAAUUCCUUAAAAGUCGUCUACUACUAUCCCAAUAAGAUGAAGUUUAUUUGGCUCUUAGCAUUAUGUGCUGCAAUAGGCAAAUCUAGUACAAACGCGGAGAAUUUGUCCGAGAAUGUCAAUGGGGAGAACGGCUGGUAUAUGCCUAACGAAGAUGGCACCCUUCAGUGGAUAGACGAGAAAAAAGCGGAGGCAAUGCUUCAACCCCUUACGGAACAGAAAAACCUAGCGGCAAUUGCAAAGCUCGUGAAAUACUAUUUAUUAUCCAAGUACCAAAAAACCCGAAGAAACUCAGUCCAUAGAACCUAUUGAAAACUCCACGUGGGCAAUCAGCUGACAAAUAUAUACGCUUAUAUUUCAAGUUAGUUCUGGAUGAUAACAUUUAAGGGCGGUGUCAGCACUUGAGGAGGGUACUUACUGCAGGUUAACAGUAACGCCCAGACUGCAAAUACCAGACUGCAAGAAAGAGCUCCCGAGCCUAAUAGAUCUGUAUUCAUAGCUGAGACACACUUAAAUAUGAACAGAUUUCAUACAUUUAUGCUAAUCAUCAUAUAGUAUUGAGUGUGUUUACUUUAGGAUCCCAGUGUAUCCCAGCAGAGGCAGGUGGAAUUAUUUUCCGGUAGAAAAGUCAAUCGAAAGGUUGAAGACAUUAAGCAUUUUGGACAAUGCCUAUCAGGUCACCCUUUGUAUUGUGAUAACGUCUUCGGUUUGUACUAUAACAGACCAUUGCUUGCCGAAACUCCUUAUCAGUCGAAAAAGUGGAUUUUCGGAUAACUUUGAAUUUUACAUGUAAUUUCUUAAUCUUCUUCACAACUAAUUUUGAUUUCCACACAGCUGCGGUCUGCUUUGACUCUGAACGUAAGAAUGGAUAGAAUGGCUGGUACAUACCUAGACCCGAUGACAGCUUUUUUUAGUUGGAUAGAAUUAUUACAGAGCAUUUGCUUGAAAAUUUAGAAAAGUUAAAGAGCCUUACACUGCAAAAAGCUCCGGUCGACUUCUACCUGUUCACAAAGUUAAACCCCACCAAGGGCACCAAGAUCACAGCCACCAGCAAGUCUAUUAAAAAAUCCAAUUUCGAUACCUAAAACCCUACAAGAUUUAUUAUCCACUGCUGGCUCCAGAGCAGAUCAUCGGACAUGAACAAAAACAUUCGUGAUGCCUGGCUGAGCAAUUGUGACUACAACGUCAUCGUCGUAGACUGGGCUAGUGCACGAUCCCCGGUUAUGCUACCCCUGUUGUGGCUGUACAUAUCGUAGGCAAGAAGGCCAACAUGAUCAACUACAGCACCGUUCGCAUGAGCGCUGAUAGCAAUGCCGACAAGGUCGAGGGUGUCUUCUAUGUGCCGGUGAACAGCGAAUCUCCCCACGGCAAUGCCAACUAUGUAGUAAUGUGACGCAAUCAAUCAAAUAAUUAGACUAGGUAAUCUAGUUGGGUUUACGACGCUAAUCAUAUAACUGAACGAUACACCUUGAGGCUAUAAUCCAUACUAUAGUGUGGUAUAUACAUACAUAUAUACUUAUACGGUAACCGGUACUGCUAUCAACAUAGUAAUUCAAGCAAUUCCAUUAGAAGCAAACAAUAUAUGGACUUGUCGUUUCCCACGCAGUGCAUAAAUCAUACGACAUUGAUGUAGGCCUCCACCGAUAAAGAUUUAUGAUCAGUGAUAAUUAUUAAUUAUACUUGUGGUUCACUAAAUGACUUCUAAUUGUAUGCCCAUUGCUCCUCAUUUUUCGAGGUGACCAUAUGUGCCUCCUAAAAGUAUGCAACAUGUGUGUGUAUGUUAUUCUAAUAUUGGAUUUUGUGUACUAUUUUUGCAUGUCAUUUAAUUCAUCUACUCUGCCAAUUAGCACGAACAGGAUAAUCAGCCAUGGAAAAAUCAUUAGCAAUAAUACGAGUACAACUCAGAGAGGUAAACACAAAAAGUGAGCAGUAAAGAAGGGGGCAGUGGGUGGCUGGGGCGGAAGUCUCUAAACAAAUUGAGUCACAGUUAAUAGGCUUUUGUUGGGUCAACCGUUCAUUGUUUACAUUACUCGUUUACACUCAGCAAAUUUGCUUCAAGCCACAGACAUAGACCAUAGCUGGCCGAAACUUCUUAUCAGUCGAAAUACCUCACAAUAUAAAACCCUUUUAGCUCUUAGCUUUCUGUUCCACGUACAUGGAAUUCCGCCAACUCUUUAACAAAUGCUAUUAAUUCAUACACAGCUUCGGCUGGCAGCUUAUGUUGGAUAGAUAAACAUGCGGCAGAACGUUGGCUUCGACGAAUUGAAAACGUACUGUUCAAUGACCAAAGUUCCUAUCGAAUUCUACCUGUUCACCAAGUCCAACCCCACCAAGGGUACCAAGAUCACAGCUACGAGCAAUUCAAUCGCCUCAUCCAACUUCAGUGCCUAUGAUCCAACGAGGAUUUAUUAUUCACGGCUAGACCCAGAGUAGCUCAUCGGACUUGCAGAAGAACGAUCGGGACGCCUGGCUGAGCAAUGGUGACUACAACGGCAUCGUUGUGGACUGGGCUAAUGCAUGUUCCAUGGACUAUAUUUCCUCCGUUGUGGCUAUACCCGGCGUAAGCCAGAAGGUCGCCAACAUGGUCAACUACCUUGACUUCCAUCAUGACUUGAGUCUCGACUACCCCAAGAAAAACUUUGGAACCAUGAAGUGCGAUAGCUAUAUGGCAGCCGUCAAUAAGAAGUGUGGCAACACCUACAGCACUAUUCGAAUGGGUGAUGAAGGCAAUGCCGACAGGGUCAAGGGUGCCUUUUAUGUGCCGGUGAACAGCAAUGCUCCCCACGGCAAUAUCAACUAAAUAAGAAUAAUAAUGUGACGCAAUCAAAAAAGUUACCGAAAACAAUCGAAUUCCGCUUUGCUUAAGGAAGCAUUUUUUGUGUAAGUAACUAAUCUUUGGGUUCACGACGCUAAUCAUAUAACUCGAAAAUACACAUUGAGUUUCUAAUCCAUACUAAGCCGUACACUAUAUGGCAAGCGAUACGUCUAUCAAUUUAGUAAUUGCUCAUGGAUCUAGCACUUCCCUUGCAAAUUUAAUCGAGUUUCAAGUGCUUUUAAGCCAAUAUAGAAGGAUGGUGUAGU